rnacentral:rRNA from 1 species
AGAGUUUGAUCCUGGCUCAGAUUGAACGCUGGCGGCAGGCCUAACACAUGCAAGUCGAACGGUAACAGGAAGCAGCUUGCUGCUUUGCUGACGAGUGGCGGACGGGUGAGUAAUGUCUGGGAAACUGCCCGAUGGAGGGGGAUAACUACUGGAAACGGUAGCUAAUACCGCAUAAUGUCGCAAGACCAAAGAGGGGGACCUUCGGGCCUCUUGCCAUCGGAUGUGCCCAGAUGGGAUUAGCUUGUUGGUGAGGUAACGGCUCACCAAGGCGACGAUCCCUAGCUGGUCUGAGAGGAUGACCAGCCACACUGGAACUGAGACACGGUCCAGACUCCUACGGGAGGCAGCAGUGGGGAAUAUUGCACAAUGGGCGCAAGCCUGAUGCAGCCAUGCCGCGUGUAUGAAGAAGGCCUUCGGGUUGUAAAGUACUUUCAGCGGGGAGGAAGGGGUUAAGGUUAAUAACCUUAGCCAUUGACGUUACCCGCAGAAGAAGCACCGGCUAACUCCGUGCCAGCAGCCGCGGUAAUACGGAGGGUGCAAGCGUUAAUCGGAAUUACUGGGCGUAAAGCGCACGCAGGCGGUCUGUCAAGUCGGAUGUGAAAUCCCCGGGCUCAACCUGGGAACUGCAUUCGAAACUGGCAGGCUUGAGUCUCGUAGAGGGGGGUAGAAUUCCAGGUGUAGCGGUGAAAUGCGUAGAGAUCUGGAGGAAUACCGGUGGCGAAGGCGGCCCCUGGACGAAGACUGACGCUCAGGUGCGAAAGC